AGGCUCUUGGUUUUAUUAACCUAAACUU
rnacentral:tRNA from 1 species